UUGUUCCUACGGGAGGCAGCAGUGGGGAAUAUUGCACAAUGGGGGAAACCCUGAUGCAGCGACGCCGCGUGAGUGAAGAAGUAUCUCGGUAUGUAAAGCUCUAUCAGCAGGAAAGAUAAUGACGGUACCUGACUAAGAAGCCCCGGCUAACUACGUGCCAGCAGCCGCGGUAAUACGUAGGGGGCAAGCGUUAUCCGGAUUUACUGGGUGUAAAGGGAGCGCAGACGGCGAUGCAAGCCAGG
rnacentral:rRNA from 1 species